rnacentral:tRNA from 1 species
GGAGCGGUAGUUCAGCUGGUUAGAAUACCUGCCGGGGUCGCGGGUUCGAGUCCCGUCCGUUCCGCCA